GGUGAACGCUGGCGGUAUGCCUAACACAUGCAAGUCGAACGGCAACACAAUAAGGGCUUUCUCUUACCGGUGGCGGGGGGCGGGCGGGUGAGGAAUACAUCAACAUCUUCUUUUUCUUGGUGGAAAACGUGGGACAACAUACACUAAUACCUCAUACUACCAACCGGAUGGAUCAAUGGAGAAUCAGGGCUUUCGCGUUUGCAUUAGCCGGUGUCGGAUUAGCUAGUUGGUUAGGUAAAGGCCUACCAAGGCGACGAUGCGUAGCUGGUCUGAGAGGAUGAUCGGCCACACUGGAACUGAGACACGGUCCAGACUCCUACGGGAGGCAGCAGUAGGGAAUCUUCCACAAUGGGCGAAAGCUUGACGGAGCAACGCCGCGUGAGUGAAGAAGGUCUUCGGAUCGUAAAACUCUGUUAUUAGGGAAGAAAAAAUGUGGAAUAAAAUCUGGACGUCUUGACGGUACCUAAUCAGAAAGCCACGGCUAACUACGUG
rnacentral:rRNA from 1 species